rnacentral:rRNA from 1 species
UACAGAGGUCUCAAGCGUUGUUCGGAUUCAUUGGGCGUAAAGGGUGCGUAGGCGGCGCGGUAAGUCGGGUGUGAAAUCUCGGAGCUUAACUCCGAAACUGCAUUCGAUACUGCCGUGCUUGAGGACUGGAGAGGAGACUGGAAUUCAUGGUGUAGCAGUGAAAUGCGUAGAGAUCAUGAGGAAGACCAGUGGCGAAGGCGGGUCUCUGGACAGUUCUGACACUGAGACACGAAGGCCAGGGAGCAAACGGG